UGGGCAACCUGCCCUGCACUCUGGGAUAACUUCGGGAAACCGGAGCUAAUACCGGAUAACAUCCUCCUCCGCAUGGUGGGGGGUUGAAAGUUCCGGCGGUGCAGGAUGGGCCCGCGGCCUAUCAGCUUGUUGGUGAGGUAACGGCCUACCAAGGCGACGACGGGUAGCCGGCCUGAGGUGGUGACCGGCCACACGUGGGACUGAGACACGGCCCAGACCUCCGUACGGGAGGCA
rnacentral:rRNA from 1 species